UACAGAGGUGGCAAGCGUUGUUCGGAAUUACUGGGCGUAAAGGGCGCGUAGGCGGCCCGAUAAGUCCCGCGUGAAAGCCCCCGGCUCAACUGGGGAGGGUCAUUCGAUACUGGUCGACUCGAAGGCAGGAGAGGGAAGCGGAAUUCCCGGUGUAGUGGUGAAAUGCGUAGAUAUCGGGAGGAACACCAGUGGCGAAGGCGGCUUCCUGGCCUGUUCUUGACGCUGAGGCGCGAAAGCUAGGGGAGCAAACGGG
rnacentral:rRNA from 1 species